UAACGNGUGGGCAACCUGCCCUCCAGUUGGGGACAACAUUCCGAAAGGGAUGCUAAUACCGAAUGUGCUCCCUCCUCCGCAUGGAGGAGGGAGGAAAGAUGGCCUCUGCUUGCAAGCUAUCGCUGGAAGAUGGGCCCGCGUCUGAUUAGCUAGUUGGUGGGGUAACGGCUCACCAAGGCGAUGAUCAGUAGCCGGUCUGAGAGGAUGAACGGCCACAUUGGGACUGAGACACGGCCCAAACUCCUACGGGAGGCAGCAGUGGGGAAUCUUCCGCAAUGGACGAAAGUCUGACGGAGCAACGCCGCGUGAGUGAUGAAGGUCUUCGGAUUGUAAAACUCUGUUGUUAGGGACGAAAGCACCGUGUUCGAACAGGUCAUGGUGUUGACGGUACCUAACGAGGAAGCCACGGCUAACUACGUGCCAGCAGCCGCGGUAAUACGUANGUGGCAAGCGUUGUCCGGAAUUAUUGGGCGUAAAGAGCAUGUAGGCGGGCUUUUAAGUCUGACGUGAAAAUGCGGGGCUUAACCCCGUAUGGNGNUGGAUACUGGAAGUCUUGAGUGCAGGAGAGGAAAGGGGAAUUCCCAGUGUAGCGGUGAAAUGCGUAGAUAUUGGGGAGGAACACCAGUGGCGAAGGCGCCUUUCUGGACUGUGUCUGACGCUGAGAUGCGAAAGCCAGGGUAGCANACGGGAUUAGAUACCCCGGUAGUCCUGGCCGUAAACGAUGGAUACUAGGUGU
rnacentral:rRNA from 1 species